CACAGAAUGCUUUGAAAAGGUUUUGGGACCUUUCUGUUAAAAGCUGAUAUUGUGAAAGGGAGGAAUACUGUAAGAGAAAACAUAUAUGCUGUUCUCUUUCUCUCAAGGAGACAGAAAAGUUUUGCAGGAAAGUUGCCCUGCAGGAAGUUAAUUGAGAUGAGCAGUUGCUAAGAGGAGAGAGUCUCCAUGAACGUCCCAGUGAAGAGGAGUCUGUGGCUCGGCACCAGAAGAUUCAUACGGAAAAGGGACGUGAAUGCUCCAGAUUCUUACUGAAGAAUGGCACAGAAAUUUUGCAUGAAAGGAAGACUACUUUUAUUAAGAAAAACUGUCAGAAUAGGGAAAAAUCCACUGGGUCCAAGGUUAUGAAAAGCUGUAUCAGUUUCAGCUCUGCAGCAGGUGAAGCUUGCUCCUGCUUGGUAUGAACAACUGGUUUUCCAAGGUCUGUAUCCUCCUGUGCUUGCUGACGUCUGUGCUUUCCCAGCAGCACACUAAAUGGUGUCACAGGAAGACUUUCUUCUACUGCCAGCUUGAAAAAAUCAUAUAAUGGAGCAUUGCUGGGACAGUCUGCCAGGAAAACAUGGAUUUUUGGACAGAGGUUACAGAGGAUCAAGAUAUGUAUUUCACAGUACAGGACUCUGAUUCACCCCUGGAUGAAUGGGGGAAAAGAGAAGUGCUAUCAACACACUACUUGUGUGCUCCAUGAUACAGAUUCAAGGAUGGGAGGUACAAGAGACAUAAGCAAGGUGCAGCAGAGAACACCAUCAGAGGACAUGGAGAUGCACUCGAUAGGAGACCCCAAACGAGGCAGGAAAUCCUUCUGGCAUGAAGACUCAUUGUGCCACUGGACUAGAACAGAUUCAACUCCACCACUCA